CACGUAGGGGGCGAGCGUUGUCCGGAUUUAUUGGGCGUAAAGAGCUCGUAGGCGGCUUGGUAAGUCGGGUGUGAAAACUCCGAGCUCAACUCGGAGAUGCCAUCUGAUACUGCCAUGGCUAGAGUCCGGUAGGGGAGCGCGGAAUUCCAGGUGUAGCGGUGAAAUGCACAGAUAUCUGGAGGAACACCGAUGGCGAAGGCAGCGCUCUGGGCCGGUACUGACGCUGAGGAGCGAAAGCGCGGGGAGCGAACAGG
rnacentral:rRNA from 1 species